rnacentral:rRNA from 1 species
UACGUAGGGGGCAAGCGUUGUCCGGAAUCAUUGGGCGUAAAGAGCGUGUAGGCGGCUCGAUAAGUCUGCUGUGAAAUCCCAGGGCUUAACCCUGGAACUGCCUGCGAGACCUCAGUACUAGAGUGUGAGAGGGGAUAGUGGAAUACCCAGUGUAGCGGUGAAAUGCGUAGAGAUUGGGUGGAACACCGGUGGCGAAGGCGGCUCACUGGCCCGGAACUGACGCUGAGGUGCGAAAGCGUGGGGAGCAAACAGG